UACGUAGGGGGCAAGCGUUAUCCGGAAUCACUGGGCGUAAAGGGUGCGUAGGUGGUCCAUCAAGUCAGAAGUGAAAGGCAGCGGCUUAACCGCUGUAAGCUUUUGAAACUGACGGACUUGAGUGCAGGAGAGGUAAGUGGAAUUCCUAGUGUAGCGGUGAAAUGCGUAGAUAUUAGGAGGAACACCAGUGGCGAAGGCGACUUACUGGACUGUUACUGACACUGAGGCACGAAAGCGUGGGGAGCAAACAGG
rnacentral:rRNA from 2 species